CGAACAUAGAGAGAGACUUGCACGUUACUAAAGGGCAUUGGUGAGCACAGCACGCUGUGCGUCACUUAGCCGACCCAGCUGAUUCUGAUUCAGCAUUGGCCGCCGUUUAUAAACCCCUUUACAUGUGUGCCUUUAAUCUUUCAUCUUCGCCGAGGUAGCUCAACCUCCUACGGAGCCCUGAGCACUUCUUUACUGCUUGUAAUGUGGCGAAGCGGCUCUUUAAUCUGGCUGGGGGACGCCUCCAGGAAGUCUACUCGGAUCAGACCCUCAACUUCCUUCAAGUUGGAUCAAAGUGAGUGGAAAAACAAGUUUUGCAUGUUGAAGCAUUGUCAAGACACGUUGACUUGUCUCCUAGAUGUCAUCACCCAUGGCAA